rnacentral:rRNA from 1 species
UACGUAGGGUGCAAGCGUUGUCCGGAAUUAUUGGGCGUAAAGAGCUCGUAGGCGGCUUGUCGCGUCGGCUGUGAAAACCUGGGGCUCAACCCCGGGCCUGCAGCCGAUACGGGCAAGCUAGAAUUCGGUAGGGGAGACUGGAAUUCCUGGUGUAGCGGUGAAAUGCGCAGAUAUCAGGAGGAACACCGGUGGCGAAGGCGGGUCCCUGGGCCGAAUUGACGCUGAGGAGCGAAAGCGUGGGGAGCGAACAGG